GUGACGCUAGCAUUAAAUAAACACCAAAGACCCAAAUCUAUUUGUCUUCGUGCAGAUUCUCCAUGGAGUGAGGACUGACUCCAGAAUGUUCAAGAAUGCACGUGAGGGCCAUCCCUAACACCAAGGAUUCACAUGUCCUACUGAUGUUAACAGUCCAGAGGGGUCCCUGGUGAACUGAGGACGUUUAGUCAGGAUGAAGCGGCUGCAUGGUGGCAGAACCCCCUUUAGCUGGAGUGUGGCGAGCAGAAGUCCCCACCCAUCGGCACUGGGCAAGCCCUGUGAUCAAGAAAGAGCCCUUUCUGAGGUGACAACAGCCGUCUGACUAUAGACAGCUCAGCGCAGAGAUGGCCAGUCAGGCUCACUCCCAGAUGCCUGGUCAGCGAUUUCCAAAGCAUCCACUCCGCAGUUCCUGAUUCCUCCACGAAAGCCUGGCUCUUUCCUCCCAUCUCCCAGUCCCAGGACAGAAUCUAGGGUGAGAGGUGAGGGUGGCCACCCUGAUCCAUUGCCGAUGGCAGGCCCUUCUCCCCGCUCUGCCUCCAGGCCCCCAG